UGGGGAAUAUUGGACAAUGGAGGAAACUCUGAUCCAGCAAUUCUGUGUGUGUGAAGAAGGUUUUAGGACUGUAAAACACUUUUAGUAGGGAAGAAAAAAAUGACGGUACCUACAGAAGAAGCAACGGCUAAAUACGUGCCAGCAGCCGCGGUAAUACGUAUGUUGCGAGCGUUAUCCGGAAUUAUUGGGCUUAAAGGGCAUCUAGGCGGUAAGACAAGUUGAAGGUGAAAACCUGUGGCUCAACCAUAGGCUUGCCUACAAAACUGUUGAACUAGAGUACUGGAAAGGUGGGUGGAACUACACGAGUAGAGGUGAAAUUCGUAGAUAUGUGUAGGAAUGCCGGUGAUGAAGAUAACUCACUGGACAGAAACUGACGCUGAAGUGCGAAAGCUAGGGGAGCAAACAGG
rnacentral:rRNA from 1 species